AUUGAACGCUGGCGGCAUGCUUUACACAUGCAAGUCGAACGGUAACAGGUUAAGCUGACGAGUGGCGAACGGGUGAGUAAUAUAUCGGAACGUGCCCAGUUGUGGGGGAUAACUGCUCGAAAGAGCAGCUAAUACCGCAUACGACCUGAGGGUGAAAGCGGGGGAUCGCAAGACCUCGCGCAAUUGGAGCGGCCGAUAUCAGAUUAGCAAGUUGGCGGGGUAAAAGCCAACCAAGGCGACGAUCUGUAGCUGGUCUGAGAGGACGACCAGCCACACUGGGACUGAGACACGGCCCAGACUCCUACGGGAGGCAGCAGUGGGGAAUUUUGGACAAUGGACGCAAGUCUGAUCCAGCCAUGCCGCGUGCGGGAAGAAGGCCUUCGGGUUGUAAACCGCUUUUGUCAGGGAAGAAACGGCUUUUUCUAAUACAGAGAGCUAAUGACGGUACCUGAAGAAUAAGCACCGGCUAACUACGUGCCAGCAGCCGCCGUAA
rnacentral:rRNA from 1 species